rnacentral:rRNA from 1 species
UUUUCCUACGGGGGGCAGCAGUGAGGAAUAUUGGUCAAUGGCCGCAGGGCUGAACCAGCCAAGUCGCGUGAGGGAUGACGGUCCUAUGGAUUGUAAACCUCUUUUGUCAGGGAGCAAAGGGCGCCACGUGUGGCGUUUUGCGAGUACCUGAAGAAAAAGCAUCGGCUAACUCCGUGCCAGCAGCCGCGGUAAUACGGAGGAUGCGAGCGUUAUCCGGAUUUAUUGGGUUUAAAGGGUGCGUAGGCGGAAUGCCAAGUCAGCGGUAAAAUCGCGGGGCUCAACCUCGCUCCGCCGUUGAAACUGGG